UAGAUAGAGGCGCGAUAAUCAUCAGUAAGGUCAGGCAAGGCCAGGCAGCCGCCGGACAGGAAAGGGAUUGUCGCCGAAGAUUCGGAAAAGUGCCUGCUUCUUCGUUUCUGGGGCGUACGGGAAUACCGUGCGGACUGUCACAAAAAACUUUGUGGAGCGCUAUCG
rnacentral:ncRNA from 1 species